rnacentral:lncRNA from 12 species
CACCAUGCCACCUUCCUGUGACGUGUCCCCACCACAUGAAGGUUCUUGCAGCUUGGGUCGCUGCUUCCUGCCUGUGGCACGCAGCAGAGGCAGAGCAGAGGCAGGACAGCCGUGCUGCCACACCCUGCCCGUCCUGCCCAGGCACCCCCUGCUGCAGACCCCGAGUGGCCAAGCAGAGGACACCUCAUGGAUGACGAGCGUCCCCUCUUCAGCACCUUCAAGCCCGUCGGUGAGGACAGCACAGCCAGAGCCAAGCCGGCAGCCAGCACAGCCCCCACCCAUGCCCCGGGGGCAGAGCAGCCACCGGGACACCCCAGCAGCCGUGGCAGGGUGCCUGCAGGCCCCUGGUCACCUCCACCAGCCCAGCCCCUGCCUGAGGAGGACCCGUGGCCGGAGAGGGCGGCCCUGCGUGCCCAGACCAGGCUGUGGUUUGAGCAGACACAAGCCCAGAGGUUGGGGCCCGAGGGGGAGCUCCCACUGUGGUUCCACGGCUUCAUCAGCAGGAGGUGAGCGAGGGGGAGGCCGAGGCAGGGGACAGGGACAGUGUCCCCCACCCCUGGGCUCCUAAACAGGGAGCUGGGUCCCUGGGUCAUGCGAAGGGGAUGAGGUUGGAUGGCUCAGUGUCCCUUCUCACAGGCAGGGGGAGGAGCUGCUGCAGGAUCAGCCCCUGGGCUGCUUCCUGGUGCGCUUCAGCGAGAGCACCGUCGGCUUUGUGCUCUCCUACAGGUGAGGGACCCAGCCCACGGGAGGGGCUGAUGAGCUUGAUCCCCUCCUGGCUGCUAUGCCCACCCCAUGCCAUGCCACGCCAUGCCAUGCCAUCCCAUUGAUCCAAUCCAAUCCAAUCCCAUCCCAUUGAUCCCAUCCCAUCUUCCAUAUUCCAUAAAUCCCAUCCCAUUGUUCCCAUCCCAUCUCAUAGAUCCUUUGCCAUAGAUCUCAUCCCGUCCCAUCCCAUCCCAAAUCCCAUAAAUCCCAUUCUGUUUAUUCCAUCCCAUCCCAUCCCACAGAUCCCAUCCCAUUGAUCCCAGAAAUCCCAUCCCAUCCCAUCCCAUCCCAUC